AGCUUAAAAAUAAGAAAGGCGAUUCAUGUGUAUAGCUGUGCUGUAAUAUCGACGAGGCACUAAAGUUUUAUUAGACAUUUCGAGCGAAUUUCCAUUUUUACGUGAAAAAGGUGAUUCUAAACGAAUCGUAAAAAUCAACUGAUAAUUCUAACUAGAACAAGAAAACAAAAUUAACUAAAAAGAAUGGAAAUUUCGAAAAUGAUGCAUGCAUUAUAGAAAACGAGAGAGUGAAUAUCAACCUACUCAUCCUUAUUAUUAUGAUUAUUAACGUAACAAGAGUGAAAAGGGAAAAAAAUAAUAACGCUACAACCGUUCCCUAAUUCCAGCAUGCUAGAAAUAAAAUUCUGCGAGCCACGGAUGUCCGUCGGCCAUCGAAAAGAAGUAAUCGUUCUGAAAAAAAGGUCGUUUCUGAAAAGAACCGGCAGAGAGCAUAUAGUGGUUGGUGCACCGGUUAUCGACGAUAAUGGACCGGAUCGUCGAUUCGUACGUACGUCGCGUAUAAAGGCGGUGCAUAGUCGAAUCGUGGGAAUCGAUCGGAUUACAUCCGCCCAAUUAAUUUUUUUUCGCCGGAACCGCCUCUCCGCGCAUCCCCCUCGCGAGAGCUGUCCUCUUUCCUCACCGAAUGCUCUUGUUUGACCCGGUGCACCGAGGUGCAACGUCGCGGUGCACCUGGAAAGGGAACCUGGAACCGGCCGGAAGCGGUCGCUGAUGUUUUUGGCGUUCAGAAGAGAUUUACUCGAGCCUCGUUCGAUUUUAGCCCCAAUAUAACACUUGAGCAUCUUCCUACCGUUAUUGCCGAUAAUCUAACCUUAACGGUAAUACGACACUUAAACGAUAUUUAACCUUGAAAUACAAACGUUGUUCAAUAUUUCUCCUUAAUGUAAACGUUCAUAUAAUUUAUGAUUUUUUCUAGAUUUUUAUUUUCUCGAUAUAAUAUUGGUCGUUUUAUCUUUAGCUUUAGUAAUUUGACUUGUUAUAACGAAUAACUCGAGUCAAAUGUAAAUGUAAAUUUAUGUACAACGUAAUGGAUUAAAGUAAUGGAAGAAUAAUAGUUUAGAAUAUGUCAUAUUUUAAUCUUAAUCUUAUAUUUGGUUUCUUUGAAAAAUGUACAACUAGAGAGAAUAUAAAUUAACGCGUAUUAAAAACAUAUAAAUAAAAAUAGAAUCGCAAAAUGAUAGGUUAUUUGGAUAUCUAGUUACUUUUUUUUCCGAGGCGCCACUAGGCGUCACGUUGUCAAUUAGCGAACACGUUACCGAAAGAAUAAAGAAUCUAUUAUAUUCACUACAGAAGAAAUCUUUAUAGAGAAUACGUGGAAAAGCAACGAAGCGUGUCGCGGUUGGUAUACGAGCUCGAUUCACAACGAUACCUAGAGGAAGAAGCGGAUCAAGCUCAGAAAAAGAAUAGUAGAGGGGAGAAGGAAGAAGAUCCUUAACGCCGUCUCACGUGGCUGUAAACUCUGCACGCCGAUACACCGAACCGGAGGGCAAGUGAAAGUCUCUCAAAAGACGACGACGAGGAAUAUGCGCAUGUAUAGUAUACUAUAUGUAUACUUACGUAGAUGUAGAACUGCAAAUGUAUAUUUCUUAGCUGCAUGCAAUUCCACGCAUCUUCUCGUGUAAAUUGUACAGAUAGAUCUACAAGAAAUUGUUAAAUUUAGCUCUUAAAUAGUUUCUUUUGUACAGAUUUGUUUUAGAAAGAUAUUAAUAUUAUAGGUGAAUCAUCAAUUCUAAUGAUGUAAUCACUAUCAUUCGAAAUACACAACAUUUAAAUAAAAUAUAUUUUAAUAUCAA